AUUCUCCUGCCUCAGCCUCCCAAGUAGCUGAGUUUCUGGACUGGAUCCAUGACACUGCUCAGGUGAGUGUGGGGGCAGGAGUAGGGCAGGGAGAUUUCUAAAGGACCUGCCCUCGAAUGCAAGGAACCUUACCCCUUAGGCCCGGGCCCUGCUGGGGACUGGGGAGGGUGCUAGGACAUAUUCCCCAGAGUGAGUGGAGGAAGAAGUGAAGCUUAAACAUGGAAUCCAUUGGAUUUCUAUCAGUUUAAGGAUGAACUGGGUAAGAGUAUGCCUGAGUUUGUAUCCCAGAUCUACCAUUUCCUGUGUCGACCUUUGGCAAAUUUCUAACUUUGUUAAACCUUAAUUUCCUGAUAAUAACCAUGAUGGCUACUUAUAUGCUAUUGUUAUAUGCUAUUAAAUAAGACCCGUACAAUGCCUAGCACAGUGCUAGGCUUAGAGUGAGUGAUCUGCAGUGUUUUUUGUUUUUUUUUGAGAUGGAGUUUUGCUCUUGUUGC
rnacentral:lncRNA from 1 species